UAAAAAAUUGCCCCUUUGUUUUGUGUGAACAGACCUUUCUAGAGCAAUGUGUCUAAAUGAUGCUCAUAGCAGUCAUACCAUAAUUUGAAAUCAUUCUUGGGCAUUUUUGGACUCAGUAACUGUUUUAUGAGAAUUGUUUUAUGUUACUCCAUAAUAAAGUAAUUUGGAGUAUAUAUGGCUAAAUCUCCUUCAAAUACGGCAACUUACUUGAGAGAGUCAGGAAUUCUACUUUUUCUCACCUGCUACACAUUUCAAACUGACUUCCAAAAAGAUAUAAUAUGGACGAAGUGCAUAUUAUGUCUGGUGGGGAAAGUCUGAAAACCAAGAUAGUGGCUGAUUUCUACUCCCCCCAGGAUACAGUUUCUUCACUAAAUGAGUCCAGUCUAUUCACCUUAUAAAACAGGAAGGAAUAUUAGAGACCAUUGGUCCAAACUCCCCAUUUUAUGGACCAGGCAGCUGAGACACAGGAAAACUUUUGCCCAGGAUAACACGCCUAGCUAGUUGUGGAGCUGGACUUAAAGAGAAGAAAUUUUCUGUCUUAUCUAUUGUAUCCAUUUACUUGGUAUGUAAUUGUAAUCAUCAGGUCUGCAGGAUUUCAUAGCUGGCAAUUCACCACACAUACACACUUAACAUAUCCUAUGCAUUUUCCAUAUAGCUAUAGUGAAAAAUGAUUAUCUUUUGAAGUAAUACAUAACAUCCAUCUUCAACUGUUACCUUACUCUUCAAUGUUUAUAUUGCUUUCAAUUUCUCUAUUAUAAGUAAUACUGCAAUGAACAUCUCCAGGUAUGUGGCAAUUUACAUUCUUUCCACUUGUCUUUCAGUUAGAUUGCCUAUUGGACUAUUGAAACAAAAGUGUUAUCAAUGAGGUAGCUGUUUAUACACAGACUUUCUAAGAGGCACCAAUGCCAACAGCAAUGGAUGCAAACCCCAGUUUCAUGACACUCUCACCAGUAUUGGAUAUGAUUUUACUCUUUAAUUUUUGCUAACAGACAAAAAUAGUACUUUGUUGCCAUUUUAAUUUUAAUUUAAUUUCUAGCGAAGUUACAUUACUUUUCAUAUGUUUGCUGACCACUUAUUAUUUAUCUUGGUGGAAUCAUCUGUAACUGACUCUCUAAGAGUUUAAAAGAGAGAAUUCAUAUUUAUAGACUCCUUGCUACAAUGUCCCCAAUUCACCAUGAAAUGGUGUCAAGAUGCCCAAACACAUCACCUGCCUGCAGAGGUUUUACCACAUUCAGACACUUCUAAUUGUUCCUAUAUUAAGACAAAAUCCUGUUCCCUAAGACUUUUACCUGAAGGUGCUUAGACUAUCCUAAAAGGCCACAAACAUGUAAACUUAAAUCAUCUUGUACAUGGCAACAAUAAUAUUGUUGAAAACAACAAUAAUUUCUAAGUCUUUUUCAGAAUAAACUUUCCAACUUCUGCCUCCUAUUCGCUUUCUUCUGAACAUGUUCCCAUUUGUGAUCAGAACCGAGAACUGACGACAGAAUUCCAGAUACCCAUUUUGAAUCACAGCGAGGGACUACAUUAUCUCUGUCAAAUCUCCUUGGAUUUGGUCCACUGUCUUAAGUCAGUUCAGAUGGGCAGUGGGCUGGGGGUAUGAGGAUUCAGAUUUUGUCAUCAAAAACAUUUGCUUUCCUUCCAGGUAUCAUUUGAUCACAAAUCUGAAAAUGUCUUUUGUAUAAGGACAAAGCUGGAGCCAUAUGGCAUGGGUCUAGAGCCCUCUUUGUAGGUCAACUUUCUUCUCAAUCAGCACCUUUCAUUGUCAGUCAUUCAUCAUUAAACUAGUUAUGCAGGCACUAGGCUUUCUGAAGAUGCAACCUACAUGUCUCCAUCCAGUCAAAGUUUGUCAAGUACAUCCUCAUUCUCCAUGUAUAAGCCUAUAGUCUUCCUUUAUAAGAAAGGAAAUAAAGUCACACUCUAUGCUAAUGUAAAGUAUGCAAAUUUGAAAUAAAGCAAUGAAAAGGAACAAAAUUUCACUAAUUGUAUAAAAAUUGAAAUAAUGUGAAUUCUACUUUAUUCCUAUGAGGGAAUUAGCCUUGACUUAUGUAGUUAUUAUAUGAAGUCUUGAGGAACAUACCCCAUACAUGAAAAGAAACCACAAUUCAUUCAUUCCUUUACUCUGUCUUAGCCCAAGAUGGCCUCCUUGCCAAGAGCUUACAAACUAUUCUCUUAAUAAUCCACCCAAGAUUCUCACUCAGAGGGUGACAUUGAGGCUAUGGAUUGAUAUGGUUUGGCUCUGUGUCUCCACCCAAAUCUCAUGUUGAAUUGUAAUUCCCAAUGUUGGAGGAGGGACCUGGUGGGAGGUGAUUGAAUCAUGGGGACAGAUUUCCUCCUUGCUGUUCCCAUGAUAGUAAGUGCAUUCUCAUGAGAUCUGAUGGUUUAAAAGUGUGUGGCACUUCCCCCUUUGCUCUCUCUCUCUCUCCUGCUGCCAUGUGAAGAUGUGCUUGCUUCCCCUUUGCCCUUCUGCCAUGAUUGUAAGUUUCCUGAGGCCUCCCAGCCAUGCUUCUUGUACAGCCUGAGGAACUGUGAGUCAAACCUCUUUUCUACAUAAAUUACCCAGUCUCAGGUAGUUCUUUAUAGCAGUGUGAGAACAAACUAAUACAUGGAUCUGUAGUGUGCAGAUAUUGUCUGCUGUUUACAACCCGGAAGUUUUGAUAUAAUGCCUAGUAGUAUUUCUUCACUUUAUGUACAUGCCUAUUUAGGGGACGACCUAUCUAGCAUGUACUUAGCCUUUAAGUAUAGUCAAAUGAAUUUAUAUAGUUAGCUUCCUUUAAAAAUAUUAUCAGAAGUUUGGUAACUUCUGGCACCUACUUACUUUUAAAUAGUUGGCCCUUUACCCAACAUGGCAUAUAUAUUUAAGCAUCCAGAACUUCAGUAGACUAAAAAGACUGUCCAAAAACACGAAAGAAUAAAGAAGUUAAAAAAAUAGUUUGGAAAGGGUUGUUUAUUUAUUUAUUAUUGAUUUAUUAUUUAUUUAUUUAUUUUUGAGAUAGAGUCUCAGUCUGUCACCCAGGCUGGAAUGCAGUGGCGUGAUCUCGGCUCACUGCAACCUCUGCCUCCCAGGUUCAAGCGAUUCUCCUGCCUCAGCCUCCAGGGUAGCUGGGAUUACAGGCGUGCGCCAGAACGCCCAGCUGAUUUUGUAUUCUUAGUAGAGACAGGGUUUCACCAUAUUGAUCAGGCUGGACUCGAACUCCUGACCUCGUGAUCCACCCGCCUCUACCUCCCAAAGUUCUUUGAUUACAGGCAUGAGCCACCUCACCCAGCAUGGGAAGUUUUUAAAUAGAUUCUCUCCUUCAUUGUCAUAGUCAAUUCACACUUGUUUUUCAGCAACUGCUAUGUGACAAUCCUGUUAGGUGCUGGGACACAGAUAAAAAAUUUGGCUCUUACCUUCAAGCAUGAUCAUGUCCAAAAAUCCAGCUGUGCUGAUUAAUGGGCAUCUCACUGGCAGCUGGUAUAUCCUUCCCCAAACUUUUUAGUAGUUAGUUGGUUGCAAAGAUGAAUCCAGCCUUUGUCUUCUUCUCCUGCCAGUCUCCCCUCUUCUCACCUGUUAGCUGAUGAGACAUUGGAUAAGAGCCUGUCCACUAUCUGCAGACUUAGCCAUCCCUCCAAUGGGUGGAUUAUUUCUUAAUGAACUAAUCCUUGCUGCCUGGCACCAGCUCUGUGAUAAAAAGAAUCUGGGACAUUUCUUCCGCACGAUGCUUGAUGUUCUUGGCUUAUAAACAAACAUUUGUCUCCCAUGCCUGCCCUGCUCCCGGCUUUUUCUCCCCACCACCUCACUUUUGUCACUCCUUUCUCAAAGUUGCUCUAAGGGCAAAAGAUUGGAGAACCUGAAUGGUAGAGGAUGCUCUUAUUUGAUCUUAAUAACCCUCCUGCCACUAUCAUGGCCAAACAAGGGUGUGCAGAGAGAUGCAUGAAGCCUUCUGUUGAUUAUCAGGCUAGACUUUCCUCCAAAACUCUUAUUCACUGAACAUGCUGCAUAGACCUGCAAGAGUUCAUCACGUCUAGCCUUCUGCCUAAAUGUGGACCAUGGCAGCACAUUCUGCUCUGAGCUAAGAGGGAAUGUGUUCAUGUAUGCUGAUUGACAGGGAUCUUGUAUUAUACAAAAAGCCUUUUUGAUGCUUAAUCCUUUCUACUAGGCCAUUUCUUUUUUUCUCCUUUCUUUUUUUUUGUUUUUUUUUUGUUUGUUUGUUUUUGAAACAGGGUCUUGCUCUGUCACCUGACUGGAGCACUGCAGUGACUGAUUGUAGCUCACUACAGCCUUGACCUCCUGGACACAGACAAUUUUCCCACCUCAGACCCCCAAGUAGCUGGAAAUACAGGUGUGUACCACCACAUCUGGGUUUUUUUUUUUUUUUUUUUUUUUUUUGAGCGAUGGGAUUUUACAGAGUUGCCCAGGCUGGUCUUGAACUCCUGGCCUCAAGUGAUCCUCCCACCUCAGCCUCCCAGAUUUCUGGGAUUACAGGCAUGAGCCACCAUGCCCAGCCUAGACCAUUUCUCUUAGGCUAAAAAUUUCAUCUAACCCAUCAGACCCAUUAGGAGGGAAACACCUCUAUAUUUUUCCACCUUUACCGGCAGUAACUAAUCCCCUUGGGAGUAAAAAUGUCGAUUGGCAACUAAGAAAAUUCAGAAGGAGGGAUAUAUUUUACACCUGAGUUAACUUUUUUACACUGCAAAGGCAGAAGUUUUCUUCUCUAACAACUUGUAACUUAAUAAUAACAUAAACACACUGUACAUAACAUUCAUCUUUCAUGUUUACAAGGUGCUGUAAAGAAGUCAACCUGUCCAUCCCAAACCAACCCUUCUAAGAAGCCUCAAAUCAUCCAGAGUCCCUCCUGCUCUGUCAGCUCCUCCAUAGAACCCAACACCCAGUCUGGCCGGUUGUACUUUAAACUCACCUUUGAUCAUCCUUUGUCCUCCACUCCUCUGGUCGCCAUCCUGGUCAAGUCCCAUUUCCUCUUGCCCAGAUGAUGGCCACAGCUGCUGGUCUCCACUGACCACAUGUUCCUCUGCAGGACCAUGAGAAUUCUCUUUCCAAAUCACCUCUGAUUCUGUCAUUUCUCAGACCCACCUGAACUGCAGUCAUCCUCAAUGACUCCAGUCACCAAACUCUUCAGCCUUUUGUGGCUUGGGGCCUCUUCACAUUUUUUCCCUCUCCUGGAAUGCUCUAUGCACUCGCUACCUCUCUCCUCCUGAAAAGUCUCUGUCAGCCCUUCAAGGCCCAAGUCAUAUCGUUCUCUCACCAAGUUCCAGACCGCCAAAGUCCUGUCUCUAUUGGUGGCUGUCAUCACAGGCUGUUAGGAUUCUAAAUCCACCUGUUGGCUCUGAUGGAGGUGAGCUGCUUAGGGGCAGGCAUCAGAUGGUAUUUUAUGCUGAACCCCAGUACGGUGCCUGCCACUUGGAUACUUAAGGUGUUUUAAAUUUAAGGUGUAUGUUUGUUUUUCAUGUCCUCAAUUGGCUAAACAGAUAGUUGGCAAUGAUACAUCCAUUUCACCAAAUUUUUCUUUCAUUCAGAGCCAGCAACUGGUAUAUCUCUGUCUCUUUUCCACAAGAAACUUGCUCCAGCCUUGGCAAUAUGGCAAAACCCUUUAACUACAAAAAUUUCAAAAAAAUUAGCCCUUUCUCCCCACAUUUUGCCAUCAAGGCCUAUCAGUUCCACCUCUUAAGCAUCUCCAAGUUCCAUCCUCACUGCAAUAGUAACCUCUGUGCAAACCUAUAUCAUUGCUCUGUUGGAUUUUUGCAGUUAGAAAACUUGCAUUAAUUGCUUCCCCUUUCUCCAUUUGUACAAGUCUGGCCCCACCAGGGAAAUGGAGACACUCUAAGUAUAUUAUCAGUGAUCUCCAGAAAAACAGAACCAAUAAUAGAUAGAUAGAUGAUAGACAGAUAGAUAGAUGAUAGAUAGACGAUAGAUGAUAGAUGAUAGAUAGAUAGAUAGAUAGAUAGAUAGAUAGAUAGAUAGAUAGAUGUCUAGAUACACAAGCAGAGAUUUAUUAUGAUACUUGGCCUACACGAUUAUGGAAGCCUAGAAGUCCCAUAAUAUGCUGUCUGCAAGCCAGAGACCCAGGAAAGCUGGUGGUGUAAUUCAGUCUGAGUCUGAAAGCCUGAGAACCAGGAGAAGACAGAUGUCCCAACUCAAGAAGAGAGAUGGAAAAUUUGCACUUCCUUUUUGUUCUGUUCAUGCUCUCAUCAGAUUGGAUGACCCCUGCCUACAUUGGUGAGUGUGGAUCUUCUUUACUCAAUUUACUGAUUCAAAUGCUAUGGUCUCACAGAAAUAGUGUUUUACCAGCUAUCUGGCCAUCUCUUAGCCCAGUCAAGUUGCACAGGAAAUUAACCAUCACACCCAGUACAGGUUGGUGCAAAAGUAAUUGUGGCUUUUGCCAUUAAAAGUAAUGGCAUCACAAUAGUGAGUUCUCAUGAGAUCUGGUUGUUUAAAAGUGUUUGGCACCUCCCCUCUCUCUCUCUUCCUCUUGCUCCGGCCAUGUGAAGUUGCCUGCUCCCCCUUUGCCUUCCACCAUGACUGUAAGUUUCCUGAGGCCUCCCCAUAAGCCGAGUAGAUGCCAGCAUCAUGCUCCCUGUACAGCCUGAGGGACCAUGAGCCAACUAAACAUCUUUUCUUUAUAAAUUACCCAGUCUUAGGUAUUUCUUUAUAGCAGUGUGAGAAUGGACUCAUACACAUGCAGAGCUAAGCCUAGCUGAGCAGAGGAAGGCCAAGGAAGGAAACUGAGGGCACCAGGAACCCCCAGGCCAGCAUGCUGGUCCUGCCCCUCUUUUAUCCAUUCCCCCACAACCCACUGAAGCCAGGGUGACCGUCCAAUCACCCAUCUGACACUGUGCCCCUGCCUAAAGUCCUAUGCUGUGCCCUGUGCUCUGGCUAAGCUCCCAGCCAGCCCUCCAGCCUGAUCUCCCAUCCCCUCCCAGGCCCACUCUGAGCCUCAGCUGCUUGGUAAGUUGCAGUUCCCAGGAUGUUCCUAGUGCCUUCUGUUGCUUUGUAUGGACCACCCUCUCUGCCUUUCUGGAAUGUCUUCAUGUCUUCCCUCUGUGUUCAACUUCUCCACUCCCUGCCACCAGGGUACCUUGUGGUUAACAGGCUUUUAUUCUAGCACUUGCUAUGUUUCCCUGUGGCUAUUGACUUCCCAGUCCUCGUCAUGUUCUCCUGAAGUGCAAGCUUUUUGCCCUGUACAUCUGUUUAUUCCCAGGACCUGCCUUAGCAUCUGGCUGCAGCAGUCACUCGGCUAGCAUUUUUUGGAUAGACAGAUGGAUGAACAAGAGUCACUGCUCAGAUCCUAGCCUGCAUACUAUAAAUGAGAGCAUCGCACCCUCUUCCCCAACCACAGCAAGAUGCAGGACAGAGGAGGAGUUGGAAUUGCAUUCAGGAGCAUUUGACAGCAUGAUAUUCCCUCCCACCUAGGAGAGCUCUAGGGGCAUGAGGCCUUGCUCACUGCCCAUCUUGGGGUCUCAGGGAUAAAUAGGGGAUGCUUUGGCUUGUCUUAUCUAGGCCAUGGCCAUGGCCAGGUUCUCUGUAGCCAGCAGGCUGAAGGAAUCAUCCUCCUUCCCUUGAACGUGAGGCCCAGAAAUGUCACAGUUCCAUAGGCUUCUAAAGUAUCUGGAUAAAGAGGAACAGAGAGGAAGGGAGAGGACCCACAGGUUCUACCAUCUCCCAGUCCAGCCGGUCCUCCUCCUUUGCUUUCUGUCUACAGGGCAUGGAGGUGGAGCAGGAGAGGCAUGGGCAGAGCUCUGGCUGCCCCGUCCUUAGCUUCAUGCUUGUUUUGUGCUGACUCGCCAUGCUGGAGCCCAUUUCCACAUGAGAAAUCACAUCAAAACGUCUCUGCACCAAUGCUCUUGGCCUGGCUAAGUCAAAAUUCUCAGAUCAUCACUGGGGAGACGAUCGAUGUUCUUGGCCAGCUUUUAAUGACAAUCGAUUCUCUCCCUGGCUCUUUGUUAAGUGUCAUUGAGAACAAUUGCAUUUUGUGAACCUGGUCACCAGCCUUGAAUUUGCAGCUUCCUACAGUUGAUGAGAGGCAGAGCAUCUUGUUGCUGUUCUUUUCUCAGUCAAUCACACAAUAUGCUCAGCUGUACAAUGAACGUUCUUUCCAGUCUGUUUUUUAGGCAACAUGGCAGCUUGGCUAAUCAGAAAACAAAGUGACCCCUUGUGCAUGGGCUCUAAGGAAGGGACUGAGGAAAGUCUGGCUGCUGGCUGGCUCCUUUACUGACCCUAAGUUAUUGAGGCAGUGGUUAGUGACAGACAGACUGGUUUUCUAGUCCUAGCUUUGCUGCUUACCAGCUGUGUGACCUUGGGCAAAGCACUCACCCUCUCUGAGGCUCUGUUUCUGCAUCUGUAGAAUGGGAUGAUAAUACUGCCCAAAAUGUAGGUUGUUAGGAGGAUUAAAUGAAAUGAUGCGUGAGAAAGGGAAUUAAUAUAACAUUUGGCAUAUCUAAGAGGCUCAAUAAAUGCCUGUUGUUAUUAUUAUGGCUAUUAUUAUUAUUUCACCUUCAGAAUCCUAGAACUACAUAGCCCAGCCCCUGUAUCUGUGAUGAUGCUGAUCAAUAUAAUAGCCACUAGCCACGUGUGGCUCCUAUACAGCAGCUAAAAUGUGGAGUCCAAAUUGAGAUGUGCUCUAAGUAUGAAAUUGAUACUGGAUUUCAAAGACUUACUAUGAAAAAGAGAAUGUAAAAUAUUCAUCGAUACCUUUUAAAAAUUGUGAUGAUAUAUUGAAAUAACAUUUUGGAUCUGUUAUGUUAAAUAAAAGAUAUUUAAAUAAA